rnacentral:lncRNA from 1 species
CUUCUUCCGGGGUGUGAUGCUGCCAACGUACCUUUAGAAUUAAAAUCAUCUUGUUACGUAAGACCUUAUCAAUCCACUUGAGAAUUUCCGCAGAAACCUCAUCAUAGGUCAUAUCUGCCAGUACUUGCACCUUAUUACGAGGAAUAAUAUGAGAAGGAUCAGGGUGGUACCUCUUGAGCAUCAAGACGUGAAAGACAUUAUGCAAACUCGCGAACUCUCGGUAUAGAGUGAGGCAGUAUGCCGCAGGUCCAAUGCGCUCGACGAUCGUAAAAGGUCCCACAUAACGAGGGCUCAACUUCCCUCUCUUUUCAAAGUACAUAU